UCCAUGGGUACAUCGAAACGCGUGGCGGAUUUGGAGAACUUGCGUGGCAUUUUGGAGCUCGCAUUAACAGCUGUCUUGUCCACUUCUUCUGCCGGCUUGUGCACUGCCUUCGCCGGCAGUUGUCAAGCCAAACUAGUCUUAGUUGGCGUAGCGCAUUAAAACUAACUGCUAAAUUAUUAGGAAAGUAACCCAUCCAUCUCAGGGAUCUUGGGGGUUGUGCCACGGGGGAAAAAAAAUGAAGAAAAAUUGCGGCAUGUCAGUUAAAGGCACAACAACAAUAAAAAGGACCAAAACAGACAACAUGAAGACAUUGCCGGAGCAGGGAACACGCGCCAAAAGCAUUCAACAACAACAUUAACAACAGGAGGAGCAGCAGCAGGAGCAGCAGCAGCAGCAGAAGCGGAAGGAGCAGCAGGAGCAGCAGCCGCCAGGACGAAAAUUUUUGGCCAAGUCGCCCGCCGCUCGCACAAUGCGUUUAUAGUCGCUAGAAAAAUGAGGAAAUCACGAAAAUGAGACCAAAAACUUAAUUUAACUUUACGAUAACAAUGACCAACAAUUUAGCGACAAGAUGUCCUCUGUGGAUCAUAUUUGCAAAGCGCCAACGAUAUGUGGCCCAUUCAGAUCUUCCUGGGAUCUGGCGUUCAUUUUGUGGGGAAUGUGUGUCAAAAUCCCUCAGGCGGAAUCUUAAAUUGUGCAUAUCAUUUGCAAUUAAUUGCAUUUAUAUGAAGUUGCAAAUUUCACGGAUAAUUUUCUACAGGCUAAUGCUAUUGAACCGUAAUGAAAUGUUUGUGCUAAUACCCUGUAUUGGCUGAAAGGCUGAGUGGAUGCUAACGCAUUACGAACCCCAAGUGGAUCCACAAUGUUUCUUACGUUCUAUGUCUGGAGAGCAGGAGGGCAGAUAUCUUUGACGUAGACUUAAAUAGAACGAAAUCAGGCUGCUUGCUGUGAUGCAAGG